UACGUAGGGUGCGAGCGUUAAUCGGAAUUACUGGGCGUAAAGCGUGCGCAGGCGGUUUUGUAAGACAGGUGUGAAAUCCCCGGGCUUAACCUGGGAACUGCGCUUGUGACUGCAAGGCCGGAGUCUGGCAGAGGGGGGUAGAAUUCCACGUGUAGCAGUGAAAUGCGUAGAGAUGUGGAGGAACACCGAUGGCGAAGGCAGCCCCCUGGGUCAAGACUGACGCUCAUGCACGAAAGCGUGGGGAGCAAACAGG
rnacentral:rRNA from 1 species